rnacentral:rRNA from 1 species
UGGUAGUNCACGCCGUAAACGAUGAGUGCUAAGUGUUGGUCUCAUAAGAGAUCAGUGCUGCAGCUAACGCAUUAAGCACUCCGCCUGGGGAGUACGACCGCAAGGUUGAAACUCAAAGGAAUUGACGGGGACCCGCACAAGCGGUGGAGCACGUGGUUUAAUUCGAAGCAACGCGAAGAACCUUACCAAGUCUUGACAUACUGUGAGGACACAAGAGAUUGUGUUGUUCUGACCUUUGGUUAGACACAGAUACAGGUGGUGCAUGGUUGUCGUCAGCUCGUGUCGUGAGAUGUUGGGUUAANNNNNNNANCGAGCGCAACCCUUAUAUCUAGUUGCCAGCAGUAAGAUGGGGACUCUAGAUAGACUGCCAGUGAUAAACUGGAGGAAGGUGGGGAUGACGUCAAAUCAUCAUGCCCCUUAUGACUUGGGCUACACACGUGCUACAAUGGAUAGGAACAAAGAGAAGCGAGCUCGCGAGAGUAAGCAAACCUCACAAAACUAUUCUCAGUUCGGAUUGUAGUCUGCAACUCGACUACAUGAAGCUGGAAUCGCUAGUAAUCGCGAAUCAGAAUGUCGCGGUGAAUACGUUCCCGGGUCU